UACGUAGGGUGCGAGCGUUAAUCGGAAUUACUGGGCGUAAAGCGUGCGCAGGCGGUUGUGCAAGACAGAUGUGAAAUCCCCGAGCUUAACUUGGGAACUGCAUUUGUGACUGCACGGCUAGAGUGUGUCAGAGGGGGGUAGAAUUCCACGUGUAGCAGUGAAAUGCGUAGAUAUGUGGAGGAAUACCGAUGGCGAAGGCAGCCCCCUGGGAUAACACUGACGCUCAUGCACGAAAGCGUGGGGAGCAAACAGG
rnacentral:rRNA from 1 species